GUGCUCACUUUGGCAGCACAUAUACUAAAAGUGGAACAACACAGAGAAGAUUAGCAUGGUCCCUGCGCAAGGAUGACACUCAAGGAUGCCUAGGACAUAGUUUCUAU